CUGCAAUAGGGAUAGUAGUGGAAAUCCUUUUUUGUGGCUGGAAGUCCCUCUCCCUUGGAGAGGGAUUUAGGGUGAGGCAAAAAGAUUGCAACGGAUAGCCCGACCCGAG
rnacentral:sRNA from 1 species